rnacentral:rRNA from 1 species
AUUGAACGCUGGCGGCAGGCCUAACACAUGCAAGUCGAACGAGUGGCGGACGGGUGAGUAAUGUCUGGGAAACUGCCCGAUGGAGGGGGAUAACUACUGGAAACGGUAGCUAAUAACGCAUACCAUCGGAUGUGCCCAGAUGGGAUUAGCUAGUAGGUGGGGUAACGGCCAACCUGGGCGGCGAUCCCUAGCUGGUCUGAGAGGAUGACCAGCAAAACUGGAACUGAGAAACGGUCCGACCCCCUCGGGUAGGCAGAAGUGGGAAUUAUUGGAAAAGGGGGGAAAGCUGACUGCAGCAAUGCGGCGUGUUUGUGACGGCCUUUCGGGUUGUAAAGUACGUUAAGCGAGGCGACGUUACCCGCAGAGGAAGCACCGGCUAACUCCGUGCCAGCAGCCGCGGUAAUAC